AUUGAACGCUGGCGGAAUGCUUUACACAUGCAAGUCGAGCGGCAGCGCGGCCUUCGGGCUGGCGGCGAGCGGCGAACGGGUGAGUAAUGCAUCGGAACAUGCCCAGUCGUGGGGGAUAACACUUCGAAAGAAGUGCUAAUACCGCAUACGUCCUGAGGGGGAAAGCGGGGGAUCGCAAGACCUCGCGCGAUUGGAGUGUCCGAUGUCAGAUUAGCUAGUUGGUGGGGUAAAGGCCUACCAAGGCGACGAUCUGUAGCUGGUCUGAGAGGAUGAUCAGCCACACUGGGACUGAGACACGGCCCAGACUCCUACGGGAGGCAGCAGUGGGGAAUUUUGGACAAUGGGGGCAACCCUGAUCCAGCCAUUCCGCGUGAGUGAAGAAGGCCUUCGGGUUGUAAAGCUCUUUCGGCAGGAACGAAACGGUGGGCUCUAACAUAGUCCGCUAAUGACGGUACCUGAAGAAGAAGCACCGGCUAACUACGUG
rnacentral:rRNA from 1 species